UCCCUGGUGGCUCAGUUGGUAAAGAAUCCGCCUGCAAUGCAGGAGACCCAGGUUCGGUCCCUGGGUAGGGAA
rfam:Ovis aries breed Texel chromosome 2, whole genome shotgun sequence.